CUUGAUGGAGCCCAGGAAGAGGGGCUGCCCGUCGGUCCGCUCCCGGCCGUAGGUGGCCAGCAGGGCCUGGGCCUC
rnacentral:antisense_RNA from 1 species